GAUGAACGCUGGCGGCGUGCUUAACACAUGCAAGUCGAGCGAGAAGUUUUGAAAAGAUUCUUCGGAUGAAAUUUAAAAUGGAAAGCGGCGGACGGGUGAGUAACGCGUAGGCAACCUGCCCCAUACAAAGGGAUAGCAUUUGGAAACGAAUAUUAAUACCUUAUGAAACUUAACUAGUGCAUGCUAGGUAGGUCAAAGAUUUAUCGGUAUGGGAUGGGCCUGCGUCUGAUUAGCUAGUUGGUGAGGUAACGGCUCACCAAGGCGACGAUCAGUAGCCGACCUGAGAGGGUGAACGGCCACAUUGGAACUGAGACACGGUCCAAACGCCUACGGGAGGCAGCAGUGGGGAAGAUUGCACAAUGGGGGAAACCCUGAUGCAGCAACGGCGCGUGAACGAUGAAGGCCUUUGGGUCGUAAAGUUCUGUUCUAGGUGAUGAAAACUGACAGUAACCUAGGAGAAAGCCCCGGCUAACUCCGUG
rnacentral:rRNA from 1 species